GUAGGAGCUGGCGAAGCCUGCGAUCUUUUGAUCUUCGGCGUCCCUGAAAAUGCCAAAGGAUCGCAGGCUUCGCCAGCUCCUAC
rnacentral:misc_RNA from 1 species